rnacentral:rRNA from 1 species
AUUGAACGCUGGCGGCGUGCCUAACACAUGCAAGUCGAGCGGUAACGCGGGGGCAACCCUGGCGACGAGCGGCGGACGGGUGAGUAACGCUUAGGAAUCUUCCCAGUAGUGGGGAACAACCCGGGGGAAACUCGGGCUAAUACCGCACACGCCCUUCGGGGGAAGGACGGGGGACCGGUAAGGCCUCGCGCUAUUGGAUGAGCCUAAGUCGGAUUAGCUAGUUGGUUAGGGUAACGGCCUACCAAGGCGACAAUCCGUAGCUGGCUGAGAGGACGACCAGCCACACUGGGACUGAGACACGGCCCAGACUCCUACGGGAGGCAGCAGUGGGGAA